AUCUAAGUACCCCGAGGAAAAGAAAUCAACCGAGAUUCCCCCAGUAGCGGCGAGCGAACGGGGAGGAGCCCAGAGCCUGAAUCAGCAUGUGUGUUAGUGGAAGCGUCUGGAAAGGCGCGCGAUACAGGGUGACAGCCCCGUACACAAAAGCGCAUGUGCUGUGAGCUCGAUGAGUAGGGCGGGACACGUGGUAUCCUGUCUGAAUAUGGGGGGACCAUCCUCCAAGGCUAAAUACUCCUGACUGACCGAUAGUGAACCAGUACCGUGAGGGAAAGGCGAAAAGAACCCCGGCGAGGGGAGUGAAAAAGAACCUGAAACCGUGUACGUACAAGCAGUGGGAGCACAGGUUUACCUGUGUGACUGCGUACCUUUUGUAUAAUGGGUCAGCGACUUAU
rnacentral:rRNA from 2 species